UGGGGAAUAUUGGACAAUGGGCGAAAGCCUGAUCCAGCCAUGCCGCGUGUGUGAAGAAGGUCUUCGGAUUGUAAAGCACUUUAAGUUGGGAGGAAGGGCAUUAACCUAAUACGUUAGUGUUUUGACGUUACCGACAGAAUAAGCACCGGCUAACUCUGUGCCAGCAGCCGCGGUAAUACAGAGGGUGCAAGCGUUAAUCGGAAUUACUGGGCGUAAAGCGCGCGUAGGUGGUUUGUUAAGUUGGAUGUGAAAUCCCCGGGCUCAACCUGGGAACUGCAUUCAAAACUGACUGACUAGAGUAUGGUAGAGGGUGGUGGAAUUUCCUGUGUAGCGGUGAAAUGCGUAGAUAUAGGAAGGAACACCAGUGGCGAAGGCGACCACCUGGUCUAAUACUGACACUGAGGUGCGAAAGCGUGGGGAGCAAACA
rnacentral:rRNA from 1 species